GACCUUUAUUCCUCAACAACAAACCUCUACCGUCCCCUGUCUGCAUGGACGGCUGUAACAGCAUUUUGAACUCUCUUUUUUGGCUCAUUCAGAUUCCCUAGUUCGAUUUGGCUCUCCAUGACAUUUCAACUUAAUGAACGUUUUUUUUUACCUUUCCAAAACCACCUUUUUUUUUUCUUUCUCAGGUCCAGAGAAGAGGGGAGGGGAGAUGGGGAGUGGAAUUGAUCAUCGGUCAGCUCAUGCAGUGUAAGAGGACCUUUCAUCAGGUUACACCUGAAUCCCCUUCCAAAAAUACCUACCUUUAUUACCUAUAUUACCCUAAACUUAAAUUUAAUUGUAAUUGCACUUUAGGGUUAGGAUUUAAAAUAAAAUAAAAUAUUUCAUGGGAUCCACAGUAAAUUAAUCCAAACUAACAUGAAAAAACUCGAACAAAUUUCAUAUGCAAAUUUCAAAAAAAAAAAAAAAAUCAUUUAGAGAUCAAAGAUUCCCCUUUCACAUCCUCUUUCUCUCUUUAAUUUAUCUAACCCACUUCAAUUAUUUCCAAUCUCUUCCAUAUGCUUUUGUUUUUUCUAGAUAAAUCCUCUCAUCAAACCCCAAAAUUCUAUCAUUUAAUCGCGGCUUGUUUCCAGAACAUACAAUUUAAUUUAAAGAUUCAAAUACAUAUGGCUCUUGAAACUUGGUUAGUUGACUUAUAAAGGUUAAAAUUGCAAAGAAUUCGGAGAACUUGCAUGGAUUCUGAAGUAGCCUCUGCGCCUAUACCAAAAGCAUCAAAGAAACCGAUCAUUGGAGUUUUGGCUUUUGAGAUCGCAGGUUUGUCUAAGCUCUUCCUAUCUCUAUGGUAAUCUUUAUCUGACAAGAACGUAAUAGUUCCUUCUUGGCCUUGCAAGGCUGAGCAUCUAAGGCUGGCUAAAUCGGUCUCAUGAUUGAGCAAAAUAUGCGAAUCUUCAUCGUUUUGAUCGUUUUCUCAAGGACUUUGCAAAUUCCAGUCAUGAUCCUAAUUGUUGGAUCAUAAGUUGCAAGGAAAUGGCAGCCAAGGAAAAGCAGAUGAAUAGAUUAUUAGGACUAACAGGACCUUUAGGUGGGAAAAGGCUGUUAGUAUUAAGUGCAGUGAAAACCACCAAGCUAAGAGAUACAAGAACUGAAAGUGAAGAUAACACCAUCAUCAUCGCAUGGGCAAUAGUACCCUUAACCUCUUGUGCAUAAUCUGCUGAUGCUGCUGCCAAAAUUGUUGAAGGGUAAGAGUAUGCCCACCAUGCUACAUUGAACUUUCUUGUGGAUUUCUUGAAUAGCAUUGGCCUUGAAACCUAUUUUCACAUCAAAAACCCACAAAAAUAUUAGCCAAUGGGACUUCACAAAUAAGAUGUUUAAUUAGGAAUAAGAAAGAAAGGUCACUUUUUAAAAUAGUCAAAAGAAUAAAUUGAUAUUUAUUAGUAAUUAGUUGGAAUUUGGCUUCAUGGACUAACUAAUAAAUAUGUAUUAAACUAGCCUACAUAAUGUAACUAUAUAUGGUGUAUGUAUGUGUAUAUAUAGAGAGAGUGGGGAGUAGUGAAGAGUAUUUCACACUAGAUAUUUUUAGAUAUACCAGAUUGAUUCGUGGAGUACACUCUUAAAAUCAUUAGAAAAAAAAUAUAUAGUUUUGAUACGUGUCAAUUGAUCCAAAAAUAAAUUUUUUUAACUAUAACUAUAUACACCAAACUAAUUAAAAAAGUAUUUUUAAAAAAUAUUACUAUUUUUUUUUUCUCAUCAUGAUUAGAAAUAUUCUCAACCAAAACACCUGUAUUUGAAUUGGUACAUAGGUGCGCUUGUACACAGGACAUAUGGAUAAGUCUUAGCAGACCCGAUGCAAGGAUGUAGCAGCAAGCUUUAUCACCCAUAAACUGCUAUGCUUUGACCGGUCGGCUUAGCUAUGUCAACAUGUGCACAUAUAUGUGAAAGGGACACUUGUUUAGCAGCUUAACUGGAGCACACGAUCUUUAUAUGGUCCCUGCUUGAAUUCUUAUUUAAAGACCACAAAUAUAUGUAUCAUGACAUCUAUAACAAUUCAAUUUUAAUUUUACUUCUUAAACA